GGGUUGUGAGGUUAAGCGACUAAGCGUACACGGUGGAUGCCCUGGCAGUCAGAGGCGAUGAAGGACGUGCUAAUCUGCGAAAAGCGUCGGUAAGGUGAUAUGAACCGUUAUAGCCGGCGAUGUCCGAAUGGGGAAACCCAGUGCAAUUCGUUGCACUAUCGUUAACUGAAUACAUAGGUUAACGAGGCGAACCGGGGGAACUGAAACAUCUAAGUACCCCGAGGAAAAGAAAUCAACCGAGAUUCCCCCAGUAGCGGCGAGCGAACGGGGAGCAGCCCAGAGUCUGAAUCAGCUUGUGUGUUAGUGGAACGGUCUGGAAAGUCCGACGGUACAGGGUGAUAGUCCCGUACACCAAAAUGCACAGGCUGUGAACUCGAAGAGUAGGGCGGGACACGUGGUAUCCUGUCUGAAUAUGGGGGGACCAUCCUCUAAGGCUAAAUACUCCUGACUGACCGAUAGUGAACCAGUACCGUGAGGGAAAGGCGAAAAGAACCCCGGCGAGGGGAGUGAAAAAGAACCUGAAACCGUGUACGUACAAGCAGUGGGAGCACCUUCGGGUGUGACUGCGUACCUUUUGUAUAAUGGGUCAGCGACUUAUAUUCUGUAGCAAGGUUAACCGUAUAGGGGAGCCGCAGGGAAACCGAGUCUUAACUGGGCGUUAAGUUGCAGGGUAUAGACCCGAAACCCGGUGAUCUAGCCAUGGGCAGGUUGAAGGUUGGGUAACACUAACUGGAGGACCGAACCGACUAAUGUUGAAAAAUUAGCGGAUGACUUGUGGCUGGGGGUGAAAGGCCAAUCAAACCGGGAGAUAGCUGGUUCUCCCCGAAAGCUAUUUAGGUAGCGCCUCGUGAACUCAUCUUCGGGGGUAGAGCACUGUUUCGGCUAGGGGGUCAUCCCGACUUACCAACCCGAUGCAAACUACGAAUACCGAAGAAUGUUAUCACGGGAGACACACGGCGGGUGCUAACGUCCGUCGUGAAGAGGGAAACAACCCAGACCGCCAGCUAAGGUCCCAAAGUCAUGGUUAAGUGGGAAACGAUGUGGGAAGGCACAGACAGCCAGGAUGUUGGCUUAGAAGNCACUAUCGUUAACUGAAUACAUAGGUUAACGAGGCGAACCGGGGGAACUGAAACAUCUAAGUACCCCGAGGAAAAGAAAUCAACCGAGAUUCCCCCAGUAGCGGCGAGCGAACGGGGAGCAGCCCAGAGUCUGAAUCAGCUUGUGUGUUAGUGGAACGGUCUGGAAAGUCCGACGGUACAGGGUGAUAGUCCCGUACACCAAAAUGCACAGGCUGUGAACUCGAAGAGUAGGGCGGGACACGUGGUAUCCUGUCUGAAUAUGGGGGGACCAUCCUCCAAGGCUAAAUACUCCUGACUGACCGAUAGUGAACCAGUACCGUGAGGGAAAGGCGAAAAGAACCCCGGCGAGGGGAGUGAAAAAGAACCUGAAACCGUGUACGUACAAGCAGUGGGAGCACCUUCGGGUGUGACUGCGUACCUUUUGUAUAAUGGGUCAGCGACUUAUAUUCUGUAGCAAGGUUAACCGUAUAGGGGAGCCGCAGGGAAACCGAGUCUUAACUGGGCGUUAAGUUGCAGGGUAUAGACCCGAAACCCGGUGAUCUAGCCAUGGGCAGGUUGAAGGUUGGGUAACACUAACUGGAGGACCGAACCGACUAAUGUUGAAAAAUUAGCGGAUGACUUGUGGCUGGGGGUGAAAGGCCAAUCAAACCGGGAGAUAGCUGGUUCUCCCCGAAAGCUAUUUAGGUAGCGCCUCGUGAANNNNNNNUCAUCUUCGGGGGUAGAGCACUGUUUCGGCUAGGGGGUCAUCCCGACUUACCAACCCGAUGCAAACUACGAAUACCGAAGAAUGUUAUCACGGGAGACACACGGCGGGUGCUAACGUCCGUCGUGAAGAGGGAAACAACCCAGACCGCCAGCUAAGGUCCCAAAGUCAUGGUUAAGUGGGAAACGAUGUGGGAAGGCACAGACAGCCAGGAUGUUGGCUUAGAAGCAGCCAUCAUUUAAAGAAAGCGUAAUAGCUCACUGGUCGAGUCGGCCUGCGCGGAAGAUGUAACGGGGCUAAACCAUGCACCGAAGCUGCGGCAGCGACACUAUGUGUUGUUGGGUAGGGGAGCGUUCUGUAAGCCUGCGAAGGUGUGCUGUGAGGCAUGCUGGAGGUAUCAGAAGUGCGAAUGCUGACAUAAGUAACGAUAAAGCGGGUGAAAAGCCCGCUCGCCGGAAGACCAAGGGUUCCUGUCCAACGUUAAUCGGGGCAGGGUGAGUCGACCCCUAAGGCGAGGCCGAAAGGCGUAGUCGAUGGGAAACAGGUUAAUAUUCCUGUACUUGGUGUUACUGCGAAGGGGGGACGGAGAAGGCUAUGUUAGCCGGGCGACGGUUGUCCCGGUUUAAGCAUGUAGGCUGAUUGUCCAGGCAAAUCCGGAUAAUCAAGGCUGAGGUGUGAUGACGAGGCACUACGGUGCUGAAGUAACAAAUGCCCUGCUUCCAGGAAAAGCCUCUAAGCAUCAGGUAACAUCAAAUCGUACCCCAAACCGACACAGGUGGUCAGGUAGAGAAUACCAAGGCGCUUGAGAGAACUCGGGUGAAGGAACUAGGCAAAAUGGUGCCGUAACUUCGGGAGAAGGCACGCUGGUGUGUAGGUGAAGCCCCUGCGGGUGGAGCUGAGACCAGUCGAAGAUACCAGCUGGCUGCAACUGUUUAUUAAAAACACAGCACUGUGCAAACACGAAAGUGGACGUAUACGGUGUGACGCCUGCCCGGUGCCGGAAGGUUAAUU
rnacentral:rRNA from 1 species